CCCGCUGAACUUAAGCAUAUCAAUAAGCGGAGGAAAAGAAACUAACAAGGAUUCCCCUAGUAACUGCGAGUGAAGCGGGAAAAGCUCAAAUUUAAAAUCUGGCGGUCUUUCGGCCGUCCGAGUUGUAAUCUGGAGAAGCGUUUAUCCGUGUUGGACCGUGUACAAGUCUUCUGGAAGGGAGCGUCAUAGAGGGUGAGAAUCCCGUCUUUGACACGGACUACCAAUGCUUUUGUGAUGCGCUCUCGAAGAGUCGAGUUGUUUGGGAAUGCAGCUCUAAAUGGGUGGUAAAUUCCAUCUAAAGCUAAAUAUUGGCGAGAGACCGAUAGCGAACAAGUACCGUGAGGGAAAGAUGAAAAGAACUUUGGAAAGAGAGUUAAACAGUACGUGAAAUUGUUGAAAGGGAAACGCUUGAAGUCAGUCGCGUUGUCCAGAAAUCAACCUUGCUUCUGCCUGGUGUACUUUUUGGUCAACGGGUCAGCAUCAAUUUCGACCGCCGGAUAAAGGUUGAGGGAACGUGACAUCUUUCGAGGUGUGUUUAUAGCCCUCGAUUCGCAUACGGCGAUUGGGAUUGAGGAACUCAGCGCGCCUUUAUGGUCGGGGUAGCAACCCACGUAACGCGCUCAGGAUGCUGGCAUAAUGGCUUUAAGCGACCCGUCUUGAAACACGG
rnacentral:rRNA from 1 species